CAGUCGCCACGGGAAUACGUAGGUGGCAAGCGUUGUCCGGAAUUAUUGGGCGUAAAGGGCUCGCAGGCGGUUUCUUAAGUCUGAUGUGAAAGCCCCCGGCUCAACCGGGGAGGGUCAUUGGAAACUGGGAAACUUGAGUGCAGAAGAGGAGAGUGGAAUUCCACGUGUAGCGGUGAAAUGCGUAGAGAUGUGGAGGAACACCAGUGGCGAAGGCGACUCUCUGGUCUGUAACUGACGCUGAGGAGCGAAAGCGUGGGGAGCGAACAGGAUUAGAUACCCAGUAGUCCCUGUCUCUUAUACA
rnacentral:rRNA from 1 species